ACUGAUCAUCCUGGAGCUCUGAGCAGAAGAGCCGUGCGGUACCGGUACCGGUCCAGCUGCAGUCAUCCUUCAGUUGAGUCGCCCGCUUUGUGAAUGCGCCUUAUGGACAUAAAGCAUCCUAGUAUUUAGAAUAAAUGUCCACAUUCCCACUCAAAGGACUCUCUGACUCGCUGUCUGCAUUUGCAGGAUCGUUUUAUUUUUUUAAUUUGGAUUUUUUUUUUUCUUUAAAAUGCAUUUUUAUUUUGUGAGAUGACAGUAUGUGUCCUCAAAGUACCUUUUAAAUAAAAGAUAUUAUUAUAAAUACUUAUAACGCUUCGAUCAAGGACGUUGCCAUGGUUAUUGCUUCACGUGGUGGCAGACUUCCGGGUAUUUAUACUAAUUUACAUAUGUAUUUAUGGGCGGCGACAGGGCGGACCAGCAGCUGCGCUCUGUUUCCCGCAAAUUAGGAUUUAUAACGGAAAGGUGCGCGGCCACGUGCUUGCGCACGGCUUUAUUCAUCCGAUAUUUUUUGUGCGCCGCACUUUUCUAAAUUUUUACGUACAAGUUUUAGUGUGAAAACUGCGCACUCUUUUAUGCAUGAGGCCCCUGGAGAGCAAAAAAAAAAAGUUUUUGCAGGUGUUAGUCUAGAAAGUUGGAUGAAAAGUGAAAGUUGUUGGCGAUCUGUUGUGUCUAAAGAAAGAAAGAUUUUCGGUAGUUUGUGAGGCGAUUAAAAGUCCACGUCUCCUAUAGUUAAACUCUUCGUAUUAUAAAUGUUAGUGAUUGAAUUGGCCUUAACUCGUUUACAUAAAAAGUAUGUAGAUUUUGGAGUUUGACGCCAUAUCAAAAAAUCCAAAGGAGAAGUUUGUUAUAUUUGGGAGAUGCCCUUCCAUUUUUGCGGAGCAACUACUCCCAUGAUGAGUUUUCACUUUUUUCUGCCAAGGAAUUUGUUACACUUAUUUAUUUUUUUUUUAAAUAAGCAAUCCAAAUAUAUAAGUUGUGCAUGUUUUAUUUCAAAUUUGAAGCAACAUCCUCAUGUUCGAGGCCUGUCUGUAAACCUGUGAUGUCACAUUGUAUCCAUGAGAAACUGCGUUGAACUGUCAAGAUAUUUUUAUUAACUGAACACGGACACAGCGACCUGUGUUGCACAUUUGCAUUCAUAUGCCUUUGCUUUAUUGCCAUGACAAUCCAUUAAGUCCUUCCCCCUGGAGGAAUCCUGGUUAUCAGUGUAUUUUAUUUUUUCAUAAGAAAAAAAAAAAAUAAAAUCCUCAUAUUUGGCAUUU